rnacentral:rRNA from 1 species
GACAGAGGAUGCAAGCGUUAUCCGGAAUGAUUGGGCGUAAAGCGUCUGUAGGUGGCUUUUUAAGUCCGCCGUCAAAUCCAGGGCUCAACCCUGGACCUGCAUUCGAUACGGGCAGACUAGAGUUCGGUAGGGGAGACUGGAAUUCCUGGUGUAGCGGUGAAAUGCGCAGAUAUCAGGAGGAACACCGGUGGCGAAGGCGGGUCUCUGGGCCGAAACUGACGCUGAGGAGCGAAAGCGUGGGGAGCAAACAGG